UAAUACGGAGGGUGCAAGCGUUAUCCGGAAUCAUUGGGUUUAAAGGGUCCGUAGGCGGACUGAUAAGUCAGAGGUGAAAUCCCGCAGCUCAACUGUGGAACUGCCUUUGAAACUGUUGGUCUUGAGUUAUUGUGAAGUGGUUAGAAUAUGUAGUGUAGCGGUGAAAUGCUUAGAGAUUACAUGGAAUACCGAUUGCGAAGGCAGAUCACUAACAAUAUACUGACGCUGAUGGACGAAAGCGUGGGGAGCGAACAGGAUUAGAUACCCUGGUAGUCCACGCCGUAAACGAUGGAUACUAGCUGUUCGGCCGUAAGGCUGAGUGGCUAAGCGAAAGUGAUAAGUAUCCCACCUGGGGAGUACGUUCGCAAGAAUG
rnacentral:rRNA from 1 species